rnacentral:rRNA from 1 species
AACGUAGGAGACAAACGUUAUCCGGAGUUACUGGGCGUAAAGGGCGUGUAGGUGGUUGCGUAAGUCUGGCGUGAAAUUUUUCGGCUUAACCGGGAAAGGUCGUCGGAUACUGCGUAACUAGAGGACGGUAGAGGCGUGUGGAAUUCCGGGUGUAGUGGUGAAAUGCGUAGAGAUCCGGAGGAACACCAGUGGCGAAGGCGACACGCUGGGCCGACACUGACGCUGAAGUGCGAAAGCUAGGGGAGCGAACGGG